UCGACCGGCGCACGGGUGAGUAACGCGUAUCCAACCUUCCCAUUACUGUGGGAUAACCUGCCGAAAGGCAGACUAAUACCGCAUAGUCUUCGAUGACGGCAUCAGAUUUGAAGUAAAGAUUUAUCGGUAAUGGAUGGGGAUGCGUCUGAUUAGCUUGUUGGCGGGGUAACGGCCCACCAAGGCGACGAUCAGUAGGGGUUCUGAGAGGAAGGUCCCCCACAUUGGAACUGAGACACGGUCCAAACUCCUACGGGAGGCAGCAGCG
rnacentral:rRNA from 1 species